AGGUAUUAUAACAAACCAAAAUAUGCUGGCGGCCAUUUAAACUAGAGGAAUUUGUCCCAUAAUCGUCACCUCACGCUAACUUUCACUUGAUAUUUACCGCUUGUAUACCGCCGUCAAAUACAUAUGAAUGCCUCAACAGUUAAAAUCAAAAGUAAACUUAUUUCACAAAUCAGGUCAAGGUGCAGCCUAUUAUCAAGAGAGGAUGAAUUACAUUAAAUUUAAUUUAAGGAACUGCACACAAAAGUUGCAAAGAAUCAGGAUCUACAAGUAUAAUAAUUUCAAAAUAAAUAAUAGAAUAUUUAUAAAGUGC
rnacentral:rRNA from 1 species